rnacentral:rRNA from 1 species
UACGUAGGGGGCGAGCGUUGUCCGGAGUUACUGGGCGUAAAGCGCACGCAGGCGGUCUGCUAAGUUUGGAGUGACAGUUGGUGGCUUAACUGCCAAAGUGCUUCGAAAACUGACAGACUUGAGGGCUUCAGAGGGACACGGAAUUCCGGGUGGAGUGGUGAAAUGCGUAGAUAUCGGGAGGAACACCAGUGGCGAAGGCGACUUCCUGGCCUGUUCUUGACGCUGAGGCGCGAAAGCUAGGGUAGCAAACGGG